AUGAACGCUAGCGGCAGGCUUAAUACAUGCAAGGCGAGGGGGCAGCAAUGUCACCGUCGUACGGGUGCGUAACGCGUAUGCAACCUACCUUCAACUGGGGGAUAGCCCGGGGAAACCCGGAUUAAUACCGCAUAACACAGGGGGCCCUCAUGGGUCUAUUUGUUAAAGAUUUAUUGGUUGAAGAUGGGCAUGCGUUCGAUUAGCUAGUUGGCAGGGUAACGGCCUACCAAGGCGACGAUCGAUAGGGGAGCUGAGAGGUUGAUCCCCCACACGGGCACUGAGAUACGGGCCCGACUCCUACGGGAGGCAGCAGUAGGGAAUAUUGGGCAAUGGAUGCAAGUCUGACCCAGCCAUGCCGCGUGCCGGAUGAAGGCCCUCAGGGUUGUAAACGGCUUUUAUUCGGGAAGAAGAGCAGGGAUGCGUCCUUGUGUGACGGUACCGAAUGAAUAAGCACCGGCUAACUCCGU
rnacentral:rRNA from 1 species